rnacentral:rRNA from 1 species
GCACCUACGGGGGGCAGCAGUGGGGAAUAUUGCACAAUGGGGGAAACCCUGAUGCAGCGAUGCCGCGUGGGUGAAGAAGCACUCCGGUGCGUAAAGCCCUGUCAGCAGGGAAGAAAAUGACAGUACCUGACCAAGAAGCCCCGGCUAACUACGUGCCAGCAGCCGCGGUAAUACGUAGGGGGCAAGCGUUAUCCGGAUUUACUGGGUGUAAAGGGAGCGCAGGCGGCGUGGCAAGUAAGAUGUGAAAACCCGGGGCCCAACCCCGGGCGUGAAUUUGAAACUGCCAUGCUGGAGUGCCGGAGAGG